GUAGGUGAACCUGCGGAAGGAUCAUUACCGAGUGUAGGGUUCCUAGCGAGCCCAACCUCCCACCCGUGUUUACUGUACCUUAGUUGCUUCGGCGGGCCCGCCAUUCAUGGCCGCCGGGGGCUCUCAGCCCCGGGCCCGCGCCCGCCGGAGACACCACGAACUCUGUCUGAUCUAGUGAAGUCUGAGUUGAUUGUAUCGCAAUCAGUUAAAACUUUCAACAAUGGAUCUCUUGGUUCCGGCAUCGAUGAAGAACGCAGCGAAAUGCGAUAACUAGUGUGAAUUGCAGAAUUCCGUGAAUCAUCGAGUCUUUGAACGCACAUUGCGCCCCCUGGUAUUCCGGGGGGCAUGCCUGUCCGAGCGUCAUUGCUGCCCAUCAAGCACGGCUUGUGUGUUGGGUCGUCGUCCCCUCUCCGGGGGGGACGGGCCCCAAAGGCAGCGGCGGCACCGCGUCCGAUCCUCGAGCGUAUGGGGCUUUGUCACCCGCUCUGUAGGCCCGGCCGGCGCUUGCCGAACGCAAAUCAAUCUUUUCCAGGUUGACCUCGGAUCAGGUAGGGAUACCCGCUGAACUUAAGCAUAUCAAUAAGCGGAGGAAAAGAAACCAACCGGGAUUGCCUC
rnacentral:rRNA from 1 species